UUUUCUUGCUCCCCUUUUCAAAUGGACUUAGUAUAGGCUUUUAUUAUCAGAAAGUUCUCCAAGCACAUUUAAAAUGUUAUGCAAUUUGGAGUUCUCAUUGUGGCUCAGUGGUUAACGAACCCGACUAGCAUCCGUGAGGACGCCUGUUCUAUCCCUGGCCUCCCUUAGUGGGUUGAGGAUCUGGCAUUGCCAUGAGCUGUGGUGUAGGUCGCAGAUGCGGCUCAGAUCCUGCAUUGCUGUGGCUGUGGUGUGGGCUGGGUGGCUACAGCUCCAAUUUGACUCCUAGCCUGGGAACCUCCAUUUGCCAUGGGUGUGGCCCUAAAAGACAAAAAGACAAAAAAAAAUUUAUGCAAUUUACAAAAUAAAAUUAAUAUGUUUUUACCCUAAAUUAUGUAAAAAUUAUAUCUGUAAAAGACUGAAUAACUGCAACAAAUUAUGUCAACAGAGAAGGUUUUAUGGCAGUUAACAGGUAGCUUUAAAAAAGAUUGAUGAUUCAGUAGCAUUCCUAACUAUUAUUUUUGAAAGAGUUUUAGACAAUUUAACAAGCAUUUUCAAAGGUAAUUGUUACUGUUGUUAUUUUUAGAAACAUGGCAGUCUUAAGUACCAGUUUGUUCUGCUAUCUACGUAUUUGCCUAAUUUCUGCAAAUGAUGAUAUUUAUCUGUCCUCACAGGAGCUGUCCUUUGGCAGCCUGCUGGGAUUUCCUUCAAGAGGAGGAGAGGAAGGGAAACACUUGUCCAGGAUAAAGCCUAGCUCCCUAUAUAUCCGUUCCUCUAUGUGGAUGAAAUGUGAUGAUCCGCAGUCAACACCCUGCACAGCCAGCCUCUUCUCAGCAUCUGCCUUCAGAUAAACUAACCUGCAAUAGCUGACCUCACUGGUGUCAUUGAGCACAUCCAAAAUCAUUUUAAAUAUCUCUAGUGAAGAGUUUGAAUCCAGAUGCCCCCUGGUGGUUACGCCUUUAAUAUAGACUCUUCAAAUAUCUGUGGAAAUAACCAUGCAGACAUAACAAAGAAUAAAAAUGCACAACAUUGAUCA
rnacentral:lncRNA from 1 species